CCUAAGGUAGCGAAAUUCCUUGUCGGGUAAGUUCCGACCUGCACGAAUGGCGUAAUGAUGGCCAGGCUGUCUCCACCCGAGACUCAGUGAAAUUGAACUCGCUGUGAAGAUGCAGUGUACCCGCGGCAAGACGGAAAGACCCCGUGAACCUUUACUAUAGCUUGACACUGAACAUUGAGCCUUGAUGUGUAGGAUAGGUGGGAGGCUUUGAAGUGUGGACGCCAGUCUGCAUGGAGCCGACCUUGAAAUACCACCCUUUAAUGUUUGAUGUUCUAACGUUGACCCGUAAUCCGGGUUGCGGACAGUGUCUGGUGGGUAGUUUGACUGGGGCGGUCUCCUCCUAAAGAGUAACGGAGGAGCACGAAGGUUGGCUAAUCCUGGUCGGACAUCAGGAGGUUAGUGCAAUGGCAUAAGCCAGCUUGACUGCGAGCGUGACGGCGCGAGCAGGUGCGAAAGCAGGUCAUAGUGAUCCGGUGGUUCUGAAUGGAAGGGCCAUCGCUCAACGGAUAAAAGGUACUCCGGGGAUAACAGGCUGAUACCGCCCAAGAGUUCAUAUCGACGGCGGUGUUUGGCACCUCGAUGUCGGCUCAUCACAUCCUGGGGCUGAAGUAGGUCCCAAGGGUAUGGCUGUUCGCCAUUUAAAGUGGUACGCGAGCUGGGUUUAGAACGUCGUGAGACAGUUCGGUCCCUAUCUGCCGUGGACGUUUGAGAUUUGAGAGGGGCUGCUCCUAGUACGAGAGGACCGGAGUGGACGAACCUCUGGUGUUCCGGUUGUCACGCCAGUGGCAUUGCCGGGUAGCUAUGUUCGGAAAAGAUAACCGCUGAAAGCAUCUAAGCGGGAAACUUGCCUCAAGAUGAGAUCUCACUGGGAACUUGAUUCCCCUGAAGGGCCGUCGAAGACUACGACGUUGAUAGGCUGGGUGUGUAAGCGUUGUGAGGCGUUGAGCUAACCAGUACUAAUUGCCCGUGAGGCUUGACCAU
rnacentral:rRNA from 1 species